rnacentral:rRNA from 1 species
UACGUAGGGUGCGAGCGUUGUCCGGAAUUAUUGGGCGUAAAGAGCUUGUAGGCGGUUUGUCGCGUCUGCUGUGAAAAUCCGGGGACGUCAACCCCGGACCUUGCAGUGGGUACGGGGCAGACUAGAGUGUGGUAGGGGAGACUGGAAGUUCCUGGUGUAGCGGUGAAAUGCGCAGAUAAUCAGGAGGAACACCGAUGGCGA